GACCCUGACACCGCCAUGGGCUGCGGGCUGUUCUGCUGUGUGGUCCUCUGUCUUGUGGGAGCAGCCUCCGCGGACACGGAAAUAACUCAGAUACCAAAAUACCUAAUCAUGGAAACUAGAAAUAAGAAAUCUUUGAGAUGUGAACAACGUCUGGGUCACAAUGCUAUGUACUGGUAUAAACAGAGAGCUCAGAAGCCGCCGGAGCUCAUGUUCGCCUACAACUACAAGGAACUUGCUGGCAAUGAGACUGUUCCAAGUCGCUUCUGGCCUGAAUGCCCAGACAGCUCCCGCAUCUACCUGCACGUGGACACCCUGAAACUGGAAGACUCCGCCCUGUAUCUCUGCGCCAGCAGCAAAGACACAGCCCUGCAGAGCCAACUCCUUCCUGUGCACAAACCUCUAGGGGCCAGCCAGGAAGCUAGGGGACCAGCCAAGGCACCGUUUGCCACUUCCCAUUAGACCCUAGACAGAAAUCCCAGACCACAAUACUGCCCGCAGGUUCAUGGGGCACGGCAGGGCUCAGAUCCCCACAAACGCCAGCAGUCUGUGCCGGGCUUGUCCUGACCAAGAUUGUGCCUCUGGGUGAAUAGAGGACAGACGUUCAAGUUUAAGUUGUUCCAAGGAUUUUCCAAUUGGCUGGCGCCCCUGGGAAGUCUUUCAUGAGACACUUGACCUUCUGGCCGCAGCAGUACUACUAAUCCUCCUUCUAAAAGGUGUCUUUCUCUGACUUCCCCUUCCAUCCAAGUUAGACCCUGGAUCUCAGCCCAGAUCCCAGCUCCAACUAUGCUCAGACCUUUUUCAAAGCACCUCAUUCCCUCACCAGGGUCUCCAGCUGUUCCUGCCCCUGAGGACCACGGAUCCCCCAUCCCGUUGGGAUUCCUAUUCUCUAGUUCACUCCGCCGGCUGCACGUUCAGGGGCUCAGCCCCUCGCUGGCUUCUCUUCCAUUCCAGCCUUAAUGCUUUCAGACUUGCUUCUUUAUCCUUCUGUCUUUGUAACCCUAGCUCUUCAGGUCUUCGCCUCCUGUAUGAUCAGCCAUAGAGUCCGACGGGCUUGGAUUGUUGCUUACAGCAGGCAGUGAGGAGUGAUGGGCUCCUGACAUUUCAGAGCAGGACUUUGUACCCAGGGCUGAACCCUGUAUCUGCCGGCUCUGCUCCUUGUAAUGGCUCUCUGGGCUGCACAACCCAGCAGCCAAGGGCUGACAAAGCCCUGCGUCCUGGAGGGUCAGCUGUCUGCAUGUGCACCAAGGCUCCCUCCUCUCUCCUGCAGAGGAUGCUCCAGGGACAGGGAGACCCCCCACAGAGCCUCAACCCAUAAUACCCAAGUCGACCCCUGUGGCGACUCUCUAUUCUGCAUCUUUAGAGUGGGGGUUUUUUUCACCCGAGUGUGACUCUGCCCUGUCAACUGGUUAAGAGAUAAACACAUCCCCAUCUACUAUUUCAAUGCUUUAUUUGUC